UACAGAGGGGGCAAGCGUUUAUUCGGAAUUAUUGGGCGUAAAGGGCGUGCAGGCGGUCUGUUAAGUUCAGGGUGAAAGCUCCCGGCUCAACUGGGAGAGGUCCUUGGAUACUGGCAGACUUGAGGAGGGUAGAGGAGAGUGGAAUUCCCGGUGUAGUGGUGAUAUGCGUAGAUAUCGGGAGGAACACCAGUGGCGAAGGCGGCUCUCUGGGCCCUACCUGACGCUGAGACGCGAAAGCGUGGGGAGCGAACCGG
rnacentral:rRNA from 1 species